UGGGGAAUAUUGCACAAUGGGCGAAAGCCUGAUGCAGCAACGCCGCGUGAGUGAUGAAGGCCUUCGGGUUGUAAAGCUCUGUCUUUUGGGACGAUAAUGACGGUACCAAAGGAGGAAGCCACGGCUAACUACGUGCCAGCAGCCGCGGUAAUACGUAGGUGGCAAGCGUUGUCCGGAUUUACUGGGCGUAAAGGAUGCGUAGGCGGAUUUUUAAGUGAGAUGUGAAAACCCUAAGCUUAACUUGGGGACUGCAUUUCAUACUGGAAAUCUAGAGUGCGGGAGAGGAGAAUGGAAUUCCUAGUGUAGCGGUGAAAUGCGUAGAGAUUAGGAAGAACACCAGUGGCGAAGGCGAUUCUCUGGACCGUAACUGACGCUGAGGCAUGAAAGCGUGGGUAGCAAACAGGAUUAGAUACCCUGGUAGUCCACGCCGUAAACGAUGAGUACUAGGUGUAGGAGGUAUCGACCCCUUCUGUGUCGCAGUUAACACAAUAAGUACUCCGCCUGGGAAGUACGAUCGCAAGAUUAAAACUCAAAUGAAUUGACGGGGUCAUAGCUG
rnacentral:rRNA from 1 species